rnacentral:lncRNA from 10 species
CAGCGGGGCCCGAGUGGUUAUCUGCGACAAGGAUGAGUCUGGGGGCCGGGCCCUGGAGCAGGAGCUCCCUGGAGCUGUCUUUAUCCUCUGUGAUGUGACUCAGGAAGAUGAUGUGAAGACCCUGGUUUCUGAGACCAUCCGCCGAUUUGGCCGCCUGGAUUGUGUUGUCAACAACGCUGGCCACCAUGGAGUCGCACUCUGUCGUCCAGGCUGGAGUGCAGUGGUGUGAUCUCAGCUCACUGCAACCUCUGCCUCUUGGGUUCA